rnacentral:rRNA from 1 species
GACGAACGCUGGCGGCGUGCUUAACACAUGCAAGUCGAACGGAAAGGCCCUGCUUUUGUGGGGUGCUCGAGUGGCGAACGGGUGAGUAACACGUGAGUAGCCUGCCCUUGACUUUGGGAUAACUUCAGGAAACUGGGGCUAAUACCGGAUAGGAGCUCCUGCUGCAUGGUGGGGGUUGGAAAGUUUCGGCGGUUGGGGAUGGGCUCGCGGGUUAUCAGCUUGUUGGUGGGGUAGUGGCUUACCAAGGCUUUGGCGGGUAGCCGGCCUGAGAGGGUGACCGGCCACAUUGGGACUACGGUACGGCCCAGACGCCAACGGGAGGCAGCAGGGGGGAAUAUUACACAGUGGGCGGAAGCCUGAUGCAGCAACGCCGCGUGCGGGAUGACGUCCUUCGGGUUGUAAACCGCUUUCGCCUGUGACGAAGCGUGAGUGACGGUAAUGGGUAAAGAAGCACCGGCUAACUACGUG